AGUGAACGCUGGCGGUAGGCCUAACACAUGCAAGUCGAACGGCAGCACAGUAAGAGCUUGCUCUUACGGGUGGCGAGUGGCGGACGGGUGAGGAAUACAUCGGAAUCUACUUUUUCGUGGGGGAUAACGUAGGGAAACUUACGCUAAUACCGCAUACGACCAACGGGUGAAAGCAGGGGAUUUUCGGACCUUGCGCGAUUGAAUAAGCCGAUGUCGGAUUAGCUAGUUGGCGGGGUAAAGGCCCACCAAGGCGACGAUCCGUAGCUGGUCUGAGAGGAUGAUCAGCCACACUGGAACUGAGACACGGUCCAGACUCCUACGGGAGGCAGCAGUGGGGAAUAUUGGACAAUGGGCGCAAGCCUGAUCCAGCCAUACCGCGUGGGUGAAGAAGGCCUUCGGGUUGUAAAGCCCUUUUGUUGGGAAAGAAAAGCAGCAGGUUAAUACCCCGCUGUUCUGACGGUACCCAAAGAAUAAGCACUGGCUAACUUCGUG
rnacentral:rRNA from 1 species